UACGUAGGGGGCAAGCGUUAUCCGGAUUUACUGGGUGUAAAGGGAGCGUAGACGGUAAAGCAAGUCUGAAGUGAAAUGCCAGUGCUCAACACUGGAACUGCUUUGGAAACUGUUUGGCUGGAGUGCCGGAGAGGUAAGUGGAAUUCCUAGUGUAGCGGUGAAAUGCGUAGAUAUUAGGAGGAACACCAGUGGCGAAGGCGGCUUACUGGACUGUAACUGACGUUGAGGCUCGAAAGCGUGGGGAGCAAACAGG
rnacentral:rRNA from 1 species